GGUAUUCUUCUUUAAGCUUUAUAUUUAUAUUAUUUAAACAUUAUUUUAAACUUCUUACUUGAUUUAGCCCUUUCAUCUGUUCAAUGGAGCAUUGAUUAUGGGUGUUAUGUAAAUUAAAUGUUUAUUACCUGAACUAAAUUCUUGUGACGACUAAAGAUAUACUUCUGAAGAUGGUUUACUUUCACACGACUGGUUGUUAUACAUGGUGUCAAUAUUUAUUUAAUGCCAUCAGAUCUGAACUGUAUAAUCAUAGUGUCCACAUGGUUCCAAUAUCUUUUUAAUUAAGUGUAUGCAUUGUGUAACUGUAUAAAUGCUAAUUUCGGAGAUCUGUAAAAUGUUAUAGUAUUGUGCAUUGUUGUCUAUGACUCUCAUCACUGCCAAUUCUACCAGUUUUAUUUCAGUUUGGAAAAUAUGAUGUUAUGUUUCAAAUAUAAUUAUAUAUCAAAUGAUGUAUCUGCUGAAUAUCAUAAGUACAACAGUUAUGGCAUGUUUAUGUAAAACACAUAUUAAGAUUAUAUAUUUGGCUCUAAAAAGAUAAACCAGUUCCUAUAUUAAAUAAAGGUAAUACCUGUAUACCACUGUUCAAUAGUCGUAAAUCAAUUUAACUGAAACAAAUUCGGGUCACAAACCAAAACUGAAGAAAACAUGUCACAAAAUUCAGAAAAAUUACUGUAUCUAGGUGACAUUUAAUGUAUAAGUAUAUAUUUCACUGCUAAGUAUUUCUAUUGAGUAAACAUUAAGGAAGUACACCACUAAUUCAUGGUCCCAUUGCUUUCUAUGUUAAAUUCCUCCAUUUCAAGCAGGAACAUCUCUUUUAUUUUAAGUUCAAAUAAAGUGGCAAUCAUUGCAUGUCAAAGCAACACUUAAUGGUAUCUUGUACUGGAAAAAAUCAACAUACCUUUAAUGGCAUAUAAGAAAGAACUGGUUCCCUGAACUUCGGAUGUACCAAAACAGGUACUUCAGAUCUGACAAACAGACAAAAUGUACCCUCUUUUUAUACAACCGCAAAAAUUGAAAAAAUUUUGGUCGUAUAUUGGUAUGACGUUAGCAUCCUCAUCGUCGUCGUCUUAGACAUUUGGUUUUUGCACUCUAACUUUAGUAUAAGUAAAUAGAAAUCUAUGACAUUUAAAACACAAGGUUAAUGACCAUAAAAGGAAGGUUGGGAUUGAUUUUGGGAGUUUUGGUCCCAACAGUUUAGGGUCCAAAAGGGUCAAAAAUAAAACUUUGUUUGAUUUCAUCAAAAAAUGAAUUAUUGCGGUUCUUUGAUAUGCCAAAUCUAACCAUGUAUUUAGAUUCUUAAUUUUUGAUCCUGUUUUCAAAUUGGUCUACAGUAGGUCCAAAGGGUCCAAAAUUAAACUUAGUUUGAUUUUAACAAAAAUUGAAUUCUUGAGGUUCUUUGAUAUGCUGAAUCUAAACAUGUACUUAAAUUUUUGAUUAUGGGACCCAGUUUUCAAGUUAGUCCAAAAUUCAGGGUCCAAAAUUAAACUUUGUUUGUUUUCAACAAAAAUUGAAUAUAUGGGGUUCUUAAAUAUGCUGAAUCUAACCAUGUAAUUAGAUUUUUUAAAUUUGGGCCGGUUAUCAAAUUGGUCCACAUUGAGGUCUAAAGGGUCUAAAAUUGAACAUUAUUUGAUUUCAUCAAAAGUUGAAUUCUUUGUGUUCUAUGAUAUGCUGAAUCUAACCAUGUAUUUAGAUUUUGGAUAUUGGACCAUAAUAGGUAAAUGUCCAAUUUAAAAAAAAAUUUAAGUUUAAGUUCUUAGACCACAUUCUUUCUGUGUCAGAAACCUAUGUUGUAUCAACUAUUUAAUCACAAUCCAAAUUCAGAGUGUAUUAAGCUUAAAUGUUGUGUCAAUACUUGCCCCAACUGUUCAGGGUUCGACCUCCGCAGUCGUAUAAUCUGGUUUGGUGCAGUUUUUUUUAAUAUUUAAAAUUGAGAGUCCAAAAGUGUUCUACAAUGAUCACCAGUCCCUCAGCUUUCAUUUGAUGCCAAAAAUACCUAAAUAUCCUACAUAUUUUGAAAGUUACACUCAUGCGUAGGAACUAUUUUGUGUUAAAUAUGUACUACUUUCUGGUAUGUGCUUUCUUGCCGGGCCCGAAUUAGUGGUGUUACACCUUAAUAAGACUUAAAGUAUAAGCUUUUUGUAAACACCAUUUUUAUGCCCCAUUUAUGGACAUUAUUUUAUCUGGUCAGUGCGUUCGUUUGUACGUCAGUUCGUUCGUUCGUCUGUCCGUCAGUUCGUCCCGCUUCAGGUUAAAGUUUUUGGUCAAGGUAGAUUUUGAUGAAGUUGAAGUCCAAUCAACUAGAAAACUUAGUAUAUAUGUUCCUCAUGAUAUGAUCUUUCUAAUUUUAAUGCCAAAUUAGAGAUUUUAUCCCAUUUUCACAGUCCACUGAACAUAGAAAAUGAUAGUGUGGAUGGGGCAUCCUUGUACUUAGGACUCAUUUUUGUUACUUUUAGUGUAAAACAUUUAUACAAAAUGUUUAUAUUGAUUCAUCUUUAUUUUCGUUUUUGAUGCAAGAAAAUAUAUUUAUUAAAGC
rnacentral:lncRNA from 1 species